UUUGAAUAAAAAGUACUUUAUUAGUGUGACAAAAUCAAUGAAAAAUAUAUUUUAGUUAACCGCUUAACAUUGGAAUCUAAACAUUUGAGUAUAAAUAAAAGGCAAAAUAAUAAUAACAGCCGUUUUGCUCUGAAGACACUACGAAGGAACUUGACUUCAUUAUAUAUAUAUUUUUUUCUUUUUACAAAUAUUCACUGAACAGACAAAAUGGGUUUUGGAACAAUAUUUUACAGAAUGUACAGUGUUUUGCAGUUAAUAAACAUCCCUGGUACAUAAGAUUUUGUUCUAUUGAUCUUUUAUUAAAAGGCACAGGCUGGUACGGUGGCAACAUGUUUGUGAAUAUAUUAUUUAUUACAAUAUAAUGUUGUCAUUUGUGACGCCUUAUACAAUAUCACAAAACAUUCAGAAAGUAUAAUUUUGUGCAUGGACAAUAUAAACGAAGUCCACAACACUACCAUACUAAAUAUUGUUGUUUAUUAUAGCAUCAACAUCAUGGGCAGUGUGGUAGAUUGAUUGGUAUAAUAAACAAGUACAGUUAACAUAGUCACGCUGUAAACAUCCUAUAUAUACAUAUGCUGUAAGGUUAACCAGACCCUCUUUGAUUCACUUGUACCUUUGUCCAAUAUUAGUUAGAGCACUAUUGACUAUUAUGUAACUCAAGUGGUCAAAUCAGGAUAAGAUCUAAAAUCGGUGCUGGUCCAUGCCUUUUCAAGAUUCCCUAUAAUAUAGAGAUGCUGCAAUUUUUGGAAGAAUAAAAAUUUUUUAUUAUAUUUUUUUAACCUAAUGAACAAUUUUGUUUUCGAGAUAUACAUGAUUUGCAACGUAAAGUAAUGAAAGGCAUAUUUUGUUAUUUUUCUACACAACAGAAACAUUUAAGAACAUGUAUGCAACCCCUUAAGGACUAAAAUGGUAAGAUAUGUUAUGUUGUACUUUAAAUGCAUUUGAUUUGAAUAUAAUUCAGUGCUAAAAGUGGUGCAAGAGGAAAAUAAAUGGUUCCCUGGCUGGUGGUGUUCACCAACACUAACCAAGUAAUACCCACUUUACCCAGCACAUUACGCUCUCUAUUCCCAUAAUGCAGUAGAGUGUGCAUUAAUGAUAAUGUGUGAGCAUGAACACCCACUGUAUCUUUCCCCAUCCAAUGAGUGAAGGCAACUUAAUGGAAUAGCGGAUAGAGGAUCUGUCUGUCUAUACCAGGGGUCAGCAACCCAUGGCACAUGUGCCAUGCAUAGCACUUGAGGUGUUAUGUUCCAGUGGAACUUCAGAUACCUGCUAGUGCAACCCGAGCAGUGAUUGCAGGUGGUCAGGGACAAUCCUCAAUUUAUACAUUGCAGCACUUCGAAGAAGUGAUCUCAAAUCACUUCCUACCAGCAACUGUGAAUGGGAAUCCGCACUGGAGUAGAGCAGUCCACAGCAGCUAUCACAGCUCCUGCCCUUGAUCUGUACCUGGCCAGCCCGGUCACCGCUGGACCCCAGGGAAGCCACCCAUACUGCUAGAUAUACACAGAGCUGCAGAGGAAGCAUUCUUCUCAUACAAAUAAUAUAAGGAACCCAUACACAAACACACCACUGAUAAUCCACAUACAUGCACACAACCAGACAAGCAGCCUCUCACAUGCAAUACCACAAGCAGUCCCAGACAUAGACACCACCAAACAAACAAUGUGACAUAUCAUCCAAACAAACAAAUCCACAAAUAGCCCACAAUCAUAGGUAUCAAACAUAAUACCACAAACUACUCAUAAACAUAUACAAUACAAAAGCCCACAUACGCAAAAAUACAACAUUACAAAGCAACUGCAGCACCCAUAAAUAACACAAGCAAAAUACGGCAAUACACACCUCAAUUUAAAAUAGGACUGGCACGCCAUGGGACUUCAAGGUGUUAUUUUGGCCCAGUACUACUUAAUGGUUGCCAACCCCUGGUCUAUAACUUAAUAAGGGAGGAACACAUGGCAGAUUCCACCUAGUUAAUAGAGGGGUCCAGUGUUUCCCACUUUUAUUUAUUGUAUUCCAGAACCCAGGGAACAGGUUACAAUGAAAAGGAUGUUCAUGAAGACCCCCCACAUUGUCAUUAACUCAUAUGCCACUGCACAGCUUAAUGCAAAAAUCAGGCAUCAUGAGCUAAUAACCCCUUGAUUAGUAUGGGUGCAGGACCUGCUCAGUUUUCUGGACCUCAUAACACAACAUAUGAUGUGAGAGCAUAGGGAAGCAUGUGAAUUUUUAACAGAAGCCAUGGCACCCAUUAGCUGCUCUUUGAGAAAAUAAAUGUUUUGGAGCAACAGUUGAUGACAGUCAUUCAGCAUUAAAGGGAAUUUUAAGCUCAAUUUAUCCAACUUGUUUUUCCAGUCUUUGUAUAAGAAUGUGAAAUUAUUUGUACACUGUAUGAGCACUGCAAGAAACUGUGCAGGGCUCCCUAUAAAUGAAGAAGCUUUAUUGGUGACUACAAUAUAUGGGAGAUGUUUUAUAGGGAUUUGACACAGUUAAACAUGGUGCUUUACCAAUUAAUUUUUAAAAUUUAGUGAAAUUUUACAAAUCUUUUAUUUUAUAAAAUGAAUCCAGCCUAUAGCAAGUUACUGGCUUGUGUUACAGAAUUUAAGUAAAGAUUUGUUUUAAGCAAAAACGUAAAUAUUUUACUUUCAACGUACCCUUCAUUACCCAUGAUAUGUUUCAAACUGUUUUGUGUAGGCGAACAGGAGGGACAUCUUAUAAAAAGGUUCUGUGUCAUGGAAUCCACCCAUUUUGGAAAACAAUGUGACUUGUCUGUUGUGUUGCUUAAUGUAAGAUUUGCACCAUAUAGUCAAUGGUGUAUGAACACCAUAUUGAGGUUACCACAGUAAAGGAGUUUAAGCAUGCGUGGGAUAGGCAUAAGGCUAUCCUAACUAUAAGAUAAGACUAGGGACUAAUGAAAGUAUUUAGAAAAUUGGGCAGACAAGAUGGGCCGAAUGGUUCUUAUCUGCCGUCACAUUCUAUGUUUCUAUGUAACACAAUCACAGUGCAGAUCAGCUACAUUCUCUAUGGUUUAUAGGUUAUUGUACGUCACUAACCUUUCCUGCAUAAAGCCAUCAUGUUGCCAGGUCUCCAUAUCCUUUAACCACUAGGCAUGUUUCAUCCAGUUGGAAAUCAAGUUACUUAUCAGGCCACAAUUUCACUUCUAUGGCCCAGGCUUUGUUGAAUUUUACUGUCUGCAAUUAGGUGACUAUUGAGGUGUUGAAAUUAAGACAAGAGAAAGGAAUGAUAUUUGGUGGAAGAGGAGGAAUGAGCUUUUCAAUGGAUGGUUCAAUGAGAGCUAUAUUUAAUGUUAGCAAAUGCUAAAGGCAAGUAACGGAUGACUUUAAAUCAAUGGAAGACAAGAAUGAAAAGAUUCAGCGAGAGGAAACAUGACAGGGAAAUGGAAUGAAAGAAAACCAGGUGAAACUAAAAAGUGUGUAAAUAAUGAGAAUUGGAUGAAAACAGAUGAAAGUGGGAAGAAUAUUUUAUUUUGAAAGAAAAAAAGACGGAAAUUAUAGAUUUUUCUUUUCAAACUUUACAACAUCCAGUUGCCUUGAAAUAAAAUUUAUUUAAAAUGUUACUGCUAGGCCCACAACUGUAUGAAUGUACCUCUUCUACUGCAAAGAUGAAUUUAUAUGUCUGCCUCCUAAAUUCUGCUAGCAUGGCCCAUGGAUUUCUUAGCUUUAUUUAUUUUUUCACAGAGUGAAAGUGCAAUUGUUUACAGUAAAUUUUGUUCAGACCUGAGUGUGAAACGUAAAAGACUAAACAAUGCAACAGGUGAUGUACAGUUUAAGGAAGUAUACCAUAACGUUAACGGCUAGUAUUAAGCUACUGCAAACGUUUGACACACACACAUGUAAAAAUAUAUGUAAAAAUUCCCAUAUGCCUGCACUCUAGUAAGUUUUCUAUUUAGAGCCCGGUGCUUGUCCGCAAUAACAUAUAAUUGUAGAAAAUGAUAGCACUCCAAGGUCUUGUUGAAGGUAAAAAAGGACAGUCCUGAUGAAAUUUGCAUUUUGAACUGAAACGUCGAUUUGUUUUACUGGCAACAACCUGAAAAAAAGUUAGGUUUUGCCUUUUUUACCUUCAACAAGACCUUGGAG